ensembl:lncRNA RGS5-AS1 RGS5 antisense RNA 1
AACUGCAAUCAUGAGUCUUCAGAACACCUUAUGUUCACAUUCCCUCAUAGUGCCACAGACCCUCCUUUUCUUGUGAACUGGAUAAUCACAUACCUGCAGCCCCCUUCCCUUAUUGAUAUCACCUUCAAAAAUUGAAGAAAUGUCAACAUUGGGGAAGAAGAACACAGCAGGAUGUGUCAAGUGGAGCUGAUAUUGUCCGGGAAAAAUGGCUGACUGCACACUCUUCGGCUCACCCAGCUCGAACUCUUGCAUUAUGAUGAGACAGCAACAAGGCACCAUCUUGGAGAAGCAGAGAGCAGCUCUCAUCAGACACCGAACCUGCUGGCACCUUGAUCUUGAACUUCUCAGCUUGCAAAACUGCCAGAAAUAAAUUUCUUUUGUUUAUAAAGCACCCAGUCUCAGGAUUUUAUCUUCUAUGGAAUUACCUCCUCUAAGAGUUUUCUCCCAAGGCAAACUGCAUGAAAGUCAGGUCUCUACGUUGGCUAUGCCUGGCUCUACUGUAUACACUGGCUUUUGAACCUGGUCAUAUGUUGGUGUCUUGGUUGGAAUCUGGAGAAUGGAGUGGGGGAAUGAAUAGUUUAAAUCUGGAUUAUGCAUAUGGAAGACUCAAGCUAAGAGCAUUUAGGAAUCCUGAAUUAAGCCAAGAGUAAACAGGAGUGAAAUGGGUAAGGUUUGAUUCAGGUUUAUCUAAGUUAAUUGACUGAAAAAAUACCCUGAAGAUCAUGAUGUCAGAGAAGUUGUGGGUGCAGAACUCCAUUUGUAAGAAAUUUGCUAGUGAAUGGGAGUUGAGGUAGUUAAAGCAAUGAGCAAAGAUUUCUUUUUUCAGGAGGUUAAGGGUGAUUGGAAGGAGAGAAAUGGUACGUUAACUUAAGGAGCCAUAAGGUUAAUUAUGUUUAAUAGGAGAAUGAAAUGUGAGCAGAGUGAAUGGAGUGGGAAGGCUGAGGUUUGGAAAUGUGUAGGUCCAUUCUGAGACAAAGUGAAAAGAAAAUGAAUAAAAUGAUGAUUCUAAGAAAACGUAUUAAGGGAACAAAAUGUGAGGAGUCUGGGGGCUUUUUUGGUAAGUCCUUCUUAGUUGAGGAGGUGGUGAAGGCAUAGAAGUUUAGAAAGAUUCUCACUAGCUCUUUUCGCUUGGUUCAUGAAAGAAUCGUGACUGGAAAACUAUAUUCUGUUACAUUAUUAAAUGUUUUGAUAGAAUUUUCUCUGGGGGAUGGCCUCACUGUAUCUAAACUCCACUCAACUAUAGAAUAAGAUGAUUCUAAUGGAAAUUCCAGGAAUUUCUCACCACAUAUGAUAUAUGAGAAGUAGGAUGGAGUUGGGUUCAGGCUCCAUGCUUUUUGCCUCUGGAUAAUAUUUAUAAACAAGGAGUCCUACUCUGUCUCUGAAAAGAACAGUCAACAUAGUUUUAUGAGAGCUGCUUUUCUGGUAUAAUUACUCUAAUGCUGUAUUUAUCCUCAAGGUCAGUAGUGGCCAUUAAAAAAAGCUGUCCCUUUCCCUGGAGAACAGCAUCCUCCCCCGACAAAUAAUUUCUGUUGGAAGAACAUUCUGUAAGUCCAUGUUCUCACUACAAAUAUUAUCCAAUGUAGUACUGAAGGACAUUUUAAAAACAAAGUCCUUUUUGAUCUUUCUGAGCCAAAAUGUCUUCGACUUAAUUCCUUUUCCACAAAAUAAGAAACAUCUUUUGGAUUGAGGAUUAGUCUUGCAAUUCCUACUCUCCUUCUUCACAAAUGUCUUUAUUUAGUUUUGGUUCCCAUGUCUGAAUGAGUGAUUUGAAUAGAUGGCCUCUAAGUUCCCUUCCAUUUCUAACAUGCUGGGGCUCUUUGAGUCUGGGUGAUUACAGCUAUUGUGUCUUAUUUCCUUGGUAUACACUAAGCUUCUUGAGGAUAAAUAGGGAACAUGUUUUAUUUGUCUUUGGGUCCCCCAAAACAUGUAGGCUGGAGAACCUGUAUAAGUAAAUCUCUGUUACUGAAAAAAAUACAUAAGUUAAUUAAAUAAAUAGGAAUACCCACAAAUAUCAUAGCAUUGCCUGGAAAUAUUGUCUUAAUGAGAACUAGAAAAGAAAGGCUCUUCAAGGUGGACAAAACACCUAAGUACAUGGCUUGAUUCUCAAAGCACCAAGGCACAGGCACUGGCUCAUCAGAUAACCAACCUCUUUUGGCUGUGUGCUAUUGUGCAGAACACAACCUCCAUAACUGUGCUGGGCAUGCCUGCCACUGACACACAGCAUCUUAGCUCCAGUGAAGCCUGAGGAGCAGGCUUCCUUAUAGCUCCCUCACUGUUCUGCAUGUAAGUCAAGGGGACAGCUGUCCUGGGAGCCAAUACACCACUAACCUAAGUAUCUAGACCACAGCCACAAAAUGAUAUACACUCUCCUCCAAUAUACUAUUAGGGAUCAACACCAUCCUAUAUUAUGUCUCUGUUUACCUCAGGCACCUGCAGAGGUAAAGCCUCACUAUUCAUCAACUAUUAAUCUCACACUAUUUUGUUCCAAUUCCUUUUUCUCUUAUAUCCAUAUCACUGGCCCUCCUAUAUCUGUGUCUUUAUGAAUUAGCUUAUGCUCCCUAUCUUUUUCUUCUUCUCUUUUCACUUCUACCACUUCCUAGACUUCAAUGAAAUUGAACUGUAGCUCACACAAG